GUCUAUAGCCAUGCUACCCUGAACAAGCCUGAUUUCGAAGCUAAGCAGGGUCGGGCCUGGUUAGUACUUGGACAGGAGACCACUUACCUAGGAAGACCAAGUGCUGUAGGUG
rnacentral:rRNA from 1 species